rnacentral:rRNA from 1 species
AUUGAACGCUGGCGGCAUGCCUUACACAUGCAAGUCGAACGGCAGCAUGAUCUAGCUUGCUAGAUUGAUGGCGAGUGGCGAACGGGUGAGUAAUACAUCGGAACGUGCCCUGUAGUGGGGGAUAACUAGUCGAAAGAUUAGCUAAUACCGCAUACGACCUGAGGGUGAAAGUGGGGGACCGCAAGGCCUCAUGCUAUAGGAGCGGCCGAUGUCUGAUUAGCUAGUUGGUGAGGUAAAGGCUCACCAAGGCGACGAUCAGUAGCUGGUCUGAGGGGACGAUCAGCCACACUGGGACUGAGACACGGCCCAGACUCCUACGGGAGGCAGCAGUGGGGAAUUUUGGACAAUGGGGGCAACCCUGAUCCAGCAAUGCCGCGUGUGUGAAGAUGGCCUUCGGGUUGUAAAGCACUUUUGUCCGGAAAGAAAUCGCACUUACUAAUGUUAGGUGUGGAUGACGGUACCGGAAGAAUAAGGACCGGCUAACUACGUGCCAGCCGCCGCAGUAACAC